GACAGAGGGUGCGAGCGUUAUCCGGAAUCAUUGGGCGUAAAGGGCUUGUAGGAGGAGAGGAAAGUCGGAGGUGAAAUCUCAUGGCCUAACCAUGAACCCGUUUCCGAAACUCCCUUUCUUGAGGGCGGCAGAGGCAAGUAGAAUUCCCGGUGUAGGGGUAAAAUCCGUUGAUAUCGGGAGGAAUACCGAAAGCGAAAGCAGCUUGCUGGGACGUCCCUGACUCUGAAAAGCGAAAGCACGGGGAGCAAACAGG
rnacentral:misc_RNA from 1 species